GCGCACCAUGUUGUAGUUGAGUUGCGGCAGCGUGAGCGCGGCGACACUGGCCGACAAGUGUGUGAUCGCAGGUGCGAGUCCUGCGGCACGUGC
rnacentral:tRNA from 1 species